rnacentral:rRNA from 1 species
CUGAUGGAGCACGCCGCGUGAGCGAUGAAGGCCUUCGGGUCGUAAAGCUCUGUUGUUAGGGAAGAACAAGUGCGAGAGUAACUGCUCGCACCUUGACGGUACCUAACCAGAAAGCCACGGCUAACUACGUGCCAGCAGCCGCGGUAAUACGUAGGUGGCAAGCGUUGUCCGGAAUUAUUGGGCGUAAAGCGCGCGCAGGUGGUCCUUUAAGUCUGAUGUGAAAGCCCACGGCUCAACCGUGGAGGGUCAUUGGAAACUGGGGGACUUGAGUGCAGAAGAGGAAAGUGGAAUUCCAAGUGUAGCGGUGAAAUGCGUAGAGAUUUGGAGGAACACCAGUGGCGAAGGCGACUUUCUGGUCUGUAACUGACACUGAGGCGCGAAAGCGUGGGGAGCAAACAGGAUUAGAUACCCUGGUAGUCCACGCCGUAAACGAUGAGUGCUAAGUGUUAGAGGGUUUCCGCCCUUUAGUGCUGCAGCUAAC